CCCUUAGAUGUUCUGGGCUGCACGCGCGCUACACUGAUGCGAUCAACAAGUUUUUCCUAUGUCGAUAGACACGGGUAAUCUUUUGAACUCGCAUCGUGAUGGGGAUAGAUUAUUGUAAUUAAUAAUCUUCAACGAGGAAUUCCUAGUAGGUGCAAAUCAUCAGUUUGCAUCGAUUACGUCCCUGCCCUUUGUACACACCGCCCGUCGCUGCUACCGAUUGGUUGAUCUGGUGAAUUAUUCGGACUGCCGGCUGAAGGGGUUUCCUCAUCUGCCAGCGGAAAGUCUUGUUAACCCUAUCAACUAGAGGAAGCAGAAGUCGUAACA
rnacentral:rRNA from 1 species